CCAACCUUGAAUACCCCUCAUCUCCCAAUUCUCUCUCAACCUCUCAGACACCCUAGCCUCCACCUUCAAUCACUACCUUAAAUCGACCAAAUCCAUGGCUUCCAAAGCCAUUGAUGGCCUGUAUCUACCUCAUGUGACCCCUACACACCUGAUUACCAUGGCUUCAAGGUCAGACCUUGAAGAAGCCUGGCCCAAAACUUAUUUGAUUCGAGUUCUUUGGCUGUCCCCAACCUUGCUCCGGCCAACCGUGGCUAUUCAAGCCUGGUCUUGACGUCCCCUGCUUAGAUCAUGACUUUCCAAGCCUUUCGCACUUUUUGGAAGUUCUUCUAAAACCCUAAACUUUCGAGGUUCUUCUGAUUCAUUUAGAUCCAUUGUAGAUCUCUGUUUCCCUUAAGCUUUUAAACACUUUUCCGAGAUUUCCUUCAAAACUCUGCUUUCAAAACCUUUAUCUUUUCUGAUUUAAGGUUUUGUUAAGUUAUUUCGCAUCUUUUUCUGAUUUUUAACAUGUUCUAUCGUGUUUCUUAUGUUGUACUUGUACUGCAUUUUUAUGUGUUUCCCCUUUACUGUGUCCCUAUGUCUUACUAGAAUUUGCAUGUCGAGAAUCUUAGUUUCUUUUGAGGUUUCUAAAUAUUUUCGUAAUAAUAUUUGCUUGAUUACUUGUCUUUUACCUCUACACUCGAUUGGCGACAAAAGCCCUAAGAUUUGGGGUUCAUUUGAGUUCUGAGGUUAUUUUCUAUGUGAUUUGCUUGAUCCUCAUCUCUAAAUUUGUUUGAUUUCAAAACCCUAAUUCUUUUGGACAUAUUUGAGCCUCUGAAAGCUGCUUCGUCUAUAUAAAGUUGCUCGGCUGUAUUCAAUGUCCUUACUUUGGUUUCUAUGUGUGAUUUGGUUUCUUGCAAUCUUUGAACUAAACUAUACUUUCUAGAAGGGUCUUUUACUUGACGCUUUAGCAUGAUUCUGAUACCCCCUCUUAUCCCUAUUAUUGAAUCGACCUAUGUGACUACCAUGUUUCAGUCUACAGACUUUGUAGUUAUUAUUGCUGUUUCUCUUUGCCAUGGUUUAACCUCGCCUGCCUAAUAUUUGUGCACUCUUUGUAUACGCUGAAUGUUCCUCUAAAAUGACCCUAGAUUUUGUACAAAUUUCAGACCUCUUUGUGUAAGCCUGAUUGAUUAUUUCCUUGUUUUCCCCAUUUGAUUUGAAAACUUUCUUUAGCCUUUGAUUCCUCCAUUUCUGACUUGGUUCAUUGGUAAUUUUGAAUCCCUGAUACCUUGAUUUACUAUGUACUAAUUGAUUUACUGUGUUUCUUACCUUAUUUGGCUAACCGUGUAUUUCAAAGAUUCUUUAUUAAUGUUUCCCUUAGUUAAACGCCUAUGUAUUUACCCCUAAUUCCCUACUUUACCCAGAUGUUUACUUGAUUUCUUUCCUUAAGUGAUUAGUGUCCAUUAUCGUUCGAGUUUAAACUCCUUAAUGAAAGGAAGUUCUUAUGUUAAUUGUUUGUAAUUGGUACAUAGUUCCAUAACUACUAUGAUUCUUCCCUUACUUCAACUUAUUUUCAAACUAUAAAUACCCGACCUUAUUUUUCACAAAAAAACACACAACUGAAUACGCUUCAGACUUCACACUUAUAAUUCUCACAACCUCUUCUGAAGUUUCUUGUCUGCACGUUGGCUUUCACAAGACUACUGCUUUCUUUUUCUGGUCUCUUUUAAAAACUGGUAUGUCUUGAUUCAAUUCCCAGCAUCAUCCCAAUGUGUUUAUUUACAGUCUUUGCGACUAUGUCUACUUUAUGCAGAAUUUGACAUUGAAAUGUCUAUGUGCUACUAUUUGGUUUAAUUUAUUGUAAACACUAGUCCCCUCCCAUCCCAUUUACCCUUUAUAUGUUUGUAAGUGGGGACUCAGGGCAUGGAAAAAAGAAUUGUUGCUCAUCAAUUGAGUUUUGACCCCUACGUAGGCUAAAGGGUGUGCCAGUAUGUUCCAUUGUUGGGUAUGCCCUUGCCUACUCCUUUCUUGUAUCCUGCUUGUUAUGAAUCCCCAUAUCCCCACUCCCUUAUAUAUGAUGAGUUAAGGUAUAGCCUGAAACCAUCCCAAUUAUUGUCCAAGGAUGAACCUGACCUUCAAUAGGUCCCAAAUCCCCAAUUUACAACUGACAAGCUGGUAAGGGGUGUUCCAGCACCCCAAAAAUGCUGGGCAUGACCACUAGCUUGCCAUUUCCCCUCUACUGCACUUGCACUUACUCCUAGCAUCUAAGUUCUGCCCCUUCCGAUGAGCCUUGCUUUGGGACCUUGAGUUCCCUCUAAACUUGAACAUUUGAGGGCUGGCCCUUCCACACUGCACUAUAAUCUAUUUCUGCAAUGAUAUUUGGGGUGUAAGCACUGCGUGGAGUUCUUGAAGCUCCUUGGAACUUUGACACAUCCCAAAUAAGAGAAAUGUUGAUACCAAUUUUUUCCUACGUAUUUUUGUGCCAAAAAUACUUUCCAAAUAGCUUGUGAAUGUAUAUGUAAGCAUGCACAAAAUGUUGGGUAUUUUUCUAUAAUUUUCAAGUAUUUUAAAACCAAUUUAUAACUUAUUUUGUAUUAUAAAAUCCAAUAUUUAG
rnacentral:lncRNA from 1 species